AUUGAACGCUGGCGGCAGGCUUAACACAUGCAAGUCGAGCGGAGAUGAGGUGCUUGCACCUUAUCUUAGCGGCGGACGGGUGAGUAAUGCUUAGGAAUCUGCCUAUUAGUGGGGGACAACAUUCCGAAAGGAAUGCUAAUACCGCAUACGUCCUACGGGAGAAAGCAGGGGAUCUUCGGACCUUGCGCUAAUAGAUGAGCCUAAGUCGGAUUAGCUAGUUGGUGGGGUAAAGGCCUACCAAGGCGACGAUCUGUAGCGGGUCUGAGAGGAUGAUCCGCCACACUGGGACUGAGACACGGCCCAGACCCCUACGGGAGGCAGCAGUGGGGAAUAUUGGACAAUGGGGGGAACCCUGAUCCAGCCAUGCCGCGUGUGUGAAGAAGGCCUUAUGGUUGUGAAGCACUUUAAGCGAGGAGGAGGCUACUGAGACUAAUACUCUUGGAUAGUGGACGUUACUCGCAGAAUAAGCACCGGCUAACUCUGUGCCAGCCGCCGCGGUAAUAC
rnacentral:rRNA from 1 species